rnacentral:rRNA from 1 species
GACGAACGCUGGCGGCGUGCUUAACACAUGCAAGUCGAACGGAAAGGCCCUGCUUUUGUGGGGUGCUCGAGUGGCGAACGGGUGAGUAAAACGUGAGUAACCUGCCCUUGACUUUGGGAUAACUUCAGGAAACUGGGGCUAAUACCGGAUAGGAGCUCCUGCUGCAUGGUGGGGGUUGGAAAGUUUCGGCGGUUGGGGAUGGACUCGCGGCUUAUCAGCUUGUUGGUGGGGUAGUGGCUUACCAAGGCUUUGACGGGUAGCCGGCCUGAGAGGGUGACCGGCCACAUUGGGACUGAGAUACGGCCCAGACUCCUACGGGAGGCAGCGGUGGGGAAUAUUGCACAAUGGGCGGAAGCCUGAUGCAGCAACGCCGCGUGCGGGAUGACGGCCUUCGGGUUGUAAACCGCUUUCGCCUGUGACGAAGCGUGAGUGACGGUAAUGGGUAAAGAAGCACCGGCUAACUACGUG